rnacentral:rRNA from 1 species
UACGAAGGGGGCUAGCGUUGUUCGGAUUUACUGGGCGUAAAGCGCACGUAGGCGGUUCGUUAAGUCAGGGGUGAAAUCCUGGGGCUCAACCCCAGAACUGCCUUUGAUACUGGCGAUCUCGAGUCCGGAAGAGGUGAGUGGAACUCCUAGUGUAGAGGUGGAAUUCGUAGAUAUUAGGAAGAACACCAGUGGCGAAGGCGGCUCACUGGUCCGGUACUGACGCUGAGGUGCGAAAGCGUGGGGAGCAAACAGG